rnacentral:tRNA from 1 species
CCUGGUGGCUCAGAGGUUAAAGCGCCUGCCUCCAAUGCAGGAGACCCAGGUUCGAUUCUUAGGUCAGGA